rnacentral:tRNA from 1 species
CAGAAGAUAGUUUAAAAAAAAUGCUGGUUUUGGGGAUCAGUAAUAAGGGGUAAGCCCUUUCUUUUGA